rnacentral:rRNA from 1 species
GCGUCGUAGAGGGUGAGAAUCCCGUCUUUGGCAUGGAUGACCGGGGCUUUUGUGAUGCGCUCUCGAAGAGUCGAGUUGUUUGGGAAUGCAGCUCAAAAUGGGUGGUGAACUCCAUCUAAAGCUAAAUAUUGGCGAGAGACCGAUAGCGAACAAGUACCGUGAGGGAAAGAUGAAAAGCACUUUGGAAAGAGAGUGAAACAGUACGUGAAAUUGUUGAAAGGGAAACGCUUGAAGUCAGUCGCGUCGGCCGAGACUCAGCCUUGCCUCGGCUUGGUGUACUUCUUGACCGACGGGUCAGCAUCAAUUUUGCCCCUUGGAUAAUGGCGAGGGAAAUGUGACACCUUUAUAGGUGUGUUAUAGUCUCUCGUCGCAUGCAAGGGUCGGGAUUGAGGAACUCAGCACGCGCCUUCGGGCGUCGGGGCCUUGCCCACGAUACGUGCUUAGGAUGUUGGCGUAAUGGCUUUAAACGACCCGUCUUGAAACACGGACCAAGGAGUCUAACAUGCCCGCGAGUGUUCGGGUGGAAAACCCGUGCGCGCAAUGAAAGUGAAAGUUGGGACCUCUGUCGCGGAGGGCACCGACGCCCGGACCAGAGCUUCUGCGACGGAUCUGCGGUGGAGCGUGUAUGUUAGGACCCGAAAGAUGGUGAACUAUGCCUGAAUAGGGUGAAGCCAGAGGAAACUCUGGUGGAGGCUCGUAGCGAUUCUGACAUGCAAAUCGAUCGUCAAAUUUGGGUAUAGGGGCGAAAGACUAAUCGAACCAUCUAGUAGCUGGUUCCUGCCG